CAGCUGUCUUUGGGUUUCUCCAUCAUGAUCCUGAACCCCCUUGUCUAUACAAUCCCUCCUCCCUCUCUUCAGCUGAAUUCCUGGAGCUCAGCCUCGUGCUUGGCUGUGGAUCACAGCAUCUGUUUCUCUCAGUCACUGGAUGAAGGUUCUAUGAUGACAAUUAGGGUAGCCACCAAUCUGAUUACAGGAGAUGUCCCUUUAACCCUUUCCACUAUUGCUAGAAGUCUUUAUUGGGAUCAUCCUUGUGGAUUCCUGGGAAUUUCUCUAGCACCGGGUCUACUGGGAAUAUGGCCUCCUAUUAAUUUUGUAAACCAAAUCAAUUUAUUUGUGACUCGGACAAUGGACAGGUAGAGGAGGUGAUUGUCAUUCAACCUCUCACCAGCAUUUGGAUUUGGGCAAAUUGCCUACUUGUUCUUUAGAGCCUUUUUUUCUUAAUAUUUUGGUAUUUGCCUUAAAUUCUCUCUGUAUGAGUGUGCACCCCAGACAGAGCCAACCUAGUGCAUGUUAGGUUUUGCUUCCUUUAUAGAGAAAAACAUAUCUGUGUGUUAUGCAGUCACAUGGUAAACAAUGCUCUCCACUCAGCUAAUAUUGGAAGGGAAAGAAAGUGAGAAUUUUCACUUUGCAUUGGCUUCGAGAGUACUUAGAGGACACUGGUACCCGAGACACAAUAUUUAUUUAGUCACUUUCCAAGGUGUGGACUUGUCAUUCACAGAAUCUAUAGCAGCAAGUCCCAAGUUCUGCAAAUGGAUUUGAGCUGAGUCACCUUGUCAGUUGUGAAACAAUGUCAUAAAUAUAAAUGACAAACUCUCCAGGAAAGGCAACAGAUAUGCCUCUUUGCUAGCUUCCACAAAACCUAAUUUUGUCUGCAAGCCCCAGUGCAUUAAAAAAAUAAAAUUUAACACAAAAGUCGAAGGGUGUUUCCAGAUGGCCUUUUAUUAGCUACCGAGGAGAAUGCUGCUUCUCUCCUCCUUCAGAAGCUGCUCAGACCACAGCAGCAAUUUUCACUUUCCUAUGCAUGGAGCUCUUAUUGCCGCAUGGCCAGCUAAAUGACACUUGGAGGGCAGGUCCUUGAAGCAUUUGUUCAGGUGACCACAAAUCUGGAUUUGCCCUGCUUUCUAGAAGGUCAGACAAUGCCAGAGCAUCCCACUUUUUCAUUAUUUCUGCCUUUGACCUCUCUGAUGAAAUUUUUGCUGAGUGUAGACUAACAGAGAAAAAAUUUUGAGUGGACAAAAUAAAGUUAUUGUCUGAGGGUUUAUUCCGCUCAGCACACCCUAAUUGUUUAAGGCAGGAAUUUGUGUUGUAAUGUCAAACAAACCAGAUUUUGUCCAAAGAAUUCACUGAAGAUAGGAUUAACUCUUACUUCACUUUCCAGCUAGCAGAGAGAAGUUCUUGCCUGCCUUCCAUGACUUUGUUUGUCCUUUCCCAGAAGCUCUCCACUCUUUCUGGUUAUAUCUCUUUUAUAAGAAUAUUCCAGAAGCAAGUCUACUUAGAAAUAUAGAUUGGGGGUUGGGGGGAGACAAGUAGAAAGAUAGAGGAGAAUCAGAUUAGGGUUCAAUACAUGUCAUUUUGGCUAAAUUCUGGGUAGACUCUACAUCCUGACAAGUGUUGAUUUACAUGGUUCCUGGGAAUGUGAAGGCCAGGACAUAACAGCCUUCAUAUGAAUAGGAGUAACUCAGACCUAAAUGAAGGAAGUCAAAAAGUCCACUAAUCUGCAAAUCACAGUCCUCCAAGGGAUCUUCAUGAAGACACGAAAGGGUUCCUCAAGUCACACUCUUAAAGACAGGACUUGGAGAACAAGACUCUGGCACACUGACCAAUAUUCAUACUUACUAAUCAAUGUUCUUUUCAAAUAUUAUGGCUAACAAUAUAGUUCCAUAAGAACAGAAUGCAUUUGCAUUGUUAGGGACUACCUGGAGGGAGAAGAAAGCUGGAUAAAAUACUUUGUUACAACAUAGUGAUGUUCUCAGUUGAAAUGAAAAGAUGUGGGGGACAGGGGAAGAGCUGAGACAGAGGUAGGACAAGUGACAUUUGCCUCAACAGCACUUGCCAUUUAACCUUUGACUAUCACAGUCAUUCCAAGGAGAAUGAGUUGUGUUUCCCACACACAAUGAGAAAAGAGGCUUGGCAUGCUUAAAUGGCUUUGCUGUCACAUUGUGCAGUCAUGGGUUGAAUCCAGAGGCAUCGCUAGAGCUUGCUCCAUUUCCACAGAUGGCUGCCUCAUUCUUUAUGCUACCCCUGUCUUCUCUCUGAAGAGCUACUAAGGGCUUGAGCCAGGCUGUUAUAGCAGGAGCCUCGCAGCCAUGUGUGCUAUUGUUGUUCAAUUUAGGUUUGCUCCUCACUUGCUUACAGUAUGUAAGGAUGGUCUCUGUCCGUGUUGCCCAUUCUCAUCAGCUCCAAAUGAUCCAUAGACUAAAAAUGCCUCUAAUCUUCACUAGGAAGCAAAAGCAUCAAGUGUGCGUUUCCUGAUUUAUCUGCCCGAGGGGACUUGAGAGUGAACCAUUACAAUAUCAGAGAAGAAGAGGUGAUUAGGGGAUGACAGGAGCUGGCUGAGGCCCGGUGACAUGUGGAUCUUUGGAAUAUCUUCAGAAGACAUACAUUUUCUGUGUUUCUUCAAGGAAGUGUGGUGAAGAUUUGAAAACAUCAAAACUGCUCAUGGGGAGCCAGUGCAGCAGCCUCGGGUUGUAUUCAGCAGAUGGGCAAGAAGAAAGUCUCUUGGACUGAGAUUUGAAGUGCAGAAAUAGA
rnacentral:lncRNA from 1 species